UAAGGUGUCACGGUUCAAAUUGUAGCGGAAUUUAUGAGACAAAUGUUUCAGAUUUCUCAUCUUUUUCGCGUUACAAAUGUAUUUCUGCUGCUUCAAAACAAAAACCCGACUCGAAUAUCAACAUUCUGCCUUUAUAAAUGCAUUUUUCGCGCCGCGCAAAUCCAAGUUUAAGGUCGUAUUAAAUUAUUCCUCAGACACCGUGUCCUUGUUUGACUUCAGACUAUAUAGAACACGGUGUGCUGAAAAAUCAGUGGGAACCGCUCAUGCUGCACAGUGCACAGCCCAGUGGGUAUCACACCGGAUCUGAGAGCUGAAUAAAUCAAAUACCUGGCGGCAGUCGACUGUAUUUCACACAUCUUAUUGGAUGUAAUUAGAUGCCAGGCUGCCGCUCUUACAAGUCGUCGUGAGUGGUGCACAUCGAUCACAGCCGCAUGCAUUUUCACAGAUCCACCUGCAGUUUGCAGUAUUUCCUGCCCCCGGGGUGAGAAAUAACUGCAGACUGACCCCGGCAGCAGCAGCAGCAGCAGCAGCCUCUGCAGGUGAAAACCACAGCUGUUUUUGACCUCUAAUGACCUCUCCCCACCCCUCUCUUCCUUCCUGACAAGGGGGAGAAAAGACUCUCGAAGAUGCCACUGAUUGAUACCAUGAACUGUCAAGAGCAGGGUGAUGAGAAACACACGUUUACCCGCUCGACCGGCCAGAAUUUAUCAGCACUUGGAAGCUGAAAGUGUGUGCGUGUGCACAUGUAAAUCCACCUAGAAGUAACUGUCAGCCCCUAAUGUGCUCAUCUGGUUUCUUUUUCACUCAUUUCUGCCAAACCCAACCAAGUGUGUGUGUGUGGUGAAAAAAUGUGCACGCUGCAGAAAAAAGGAAGUACGAAAUGCAACCACAGUAGAUGGAAGUGGUUAGCACUGCACAGACCACCAAAGAGAGCCCAGUUUUAUGUGCUCUCUGUGUCACAGCUGAAGAUGCACUGAGGAGGGGGAAAAAAAACAUCCUCUUUCAUUUGCUUUCUGGACCAAAUCAACAGUUUUUAAUUAUACAAUAUGAUUUGUUGUUGUGUUCCUGCAGCAAUUACUGCUUUUAGUUCAUUUUCAUCUCAAGUCUCGUGAGAUAUAAUUAAAAAUACAAACAUGGAAUCAUGUAAAAAUGAGUAAUGCACAUAAAGAAUUGAUGCACAGGCAGGCAGACAGUCACAUUGCAGCUUACAGGGGAUGUUGAGUCUCCACCUGACUUGCAUGUAAUUGAAAGGAAGUGCGGCACUGAGAGGAGAGCGAGGUGAACCCGGGGUGAACGUGCGAAACCACGAAAUCAAACCUACGCCUUGCUCUUUGUGAGACGUCGGUGCCAACUGCUGAUUUGCUGUGCCGCCCUCUUCAAACGUCUCGCCUCUCGUCUCUCCCUGUACCAGUGCAGCGUUGCCAUCUGCAGGUGGAAGGGCUGAACUCCCACAUUUCCAUGGCAACUGCACGCGUGGAUGCGGGGAGAGCCCCCUGCCGUAGCCCCUGGCAACAGGGUUUCUCAGGGGGAUGAAGGGUGGCGGGGGGUGGGGGGAUCCUGGGAUUGGAGCCCCUAUCAGGAGCUGUCAAUCAUGGGAUGAGCCUCUGCUUCGCCCCCAAGGCCAAUGUGCUCGGGGAGAUAGGAAUAAAUCCAUUACCAGGCAGCCGACAGGGACGGGGGUCAGCAGGAAACACUCAUGGAGACAAAGACGGAGAGGAGUGUGCACAGUUCAUCCACAGUGUGGUACAGUAUGUCAGGGAGGGUAGCCUCCACUGUAAUUACCAUGGUUACGAUCGAUGGAGCAGCUCAGCAUCAGGUGAGGGGAGCUGUGUGAUGACAGCUCCUCUGUGUCUUGACCUUUAUGCUGCAGUCACCGACGAAUGUGUCUGUGUAGAGAGUUUCCUCUAAAGCAGUGCGACCUGCCUGUGGAGCCCAUCAGUGUUACAUGAUUACACAGAAUAUGGUGCUGCAUCAUAAUAAUCACAGAUUCCUUGCAGCACUCGAGUUGUAAUCAAAACAGUCACUUUGGACACAUCCCCUGGGUCUGUGCUCGCUUAGCCUCUUCUCCAUCCGUAAUCAUAAUGUAUGUACACAACUAUGGUUUCUAUCUCUUCUCUUGUCGUUCCUCCAUAAUUAUGUUUUCCCUCCUUCACUUUUCCCCUCCCCCCUGGGGAAAAGUUGGGUGUCGUUUCCCCAAUGAUACUCUAAUAAAGCACAGUCAAUUCUGUAGUUUCUGAUGA